rnacentral:rRNA from 1 species
UGGGUAACCUGCCUCAAAGAGGGGAAUAGCCUCCCCGAAAGGGAGAUUAAUACCGCAUAAUAUGUUAUAG